UAGCAAAGCAUUUACGGAUGUGCGACCCACGGGCGCAUACUACAGUACUACCCAGUUGACCUGUCGCUUAACAUUGCUUCUGUGGUGGAAUAGCUCAUCGUCAAUAUAAUUUCUUGUGCUCUACAUUAGCUGCGUAUCAUCUUUAUUCCAUUUUAUCCCUCUCUAUAAGAUUAAAAAAGUGCGUGGAAAUUCAAGGAACGCAUGUCGAGAUUCGAGGGACAAUUUCAGAACUUCAGGGAAGAAUGGAUUUCAGGGAACGCAAGGGAAAUUAGGAAAAGGCAGGGGGUUGGCAUGAAGAGUACACCAAUCACAUUUGUAUGUGAAUAUCAUCUGAUUUUUAUGUGAUCCUUAAUAAUAAAAAAUACGGACGAUAUUCACUUUCCAAUCAGGCCUAGUGUUAUGUAGAAAUGAGAACAAUUAAAUCCUAAUUUACCAACAUCUCUUGAAUUUAUUACGAACAAGAAAACAAAUGAACAUAAAGUAGAAAAAGAAUAGACGCAAAGGUUCUCUCGCUCUUAAUAUUAGCUUCAUUAUAGUGUGUGAUGAUAUCCCUCCUAGAUAUUUAAUAAAUGUAUGAACAUUGCCCUGAUUGAUAUAUCAUGAUUUUCUCAUUAUGUUACCAAUAAUCGCACCUACUUUGAAUGCACUGUUGCCCCGAAGCCCAGCCUCGAUAACAUACCAGUUAUUUUUGCUAUACCAUACAUGCUUAAUUAUAAUUAGUGACACAUCAGUUUUUCUUCAUUCAAUAAGUUUUUAUCUCAUGCAGUUGAGUUAAAAACAUCUUUCACUGUUUACAAGUCAGCUUUCAAUAGUUACAUGUCAUGAAUUGGAUAAAAUCAGGUUCUUGUCCACCAAAUUUUUUUAUAUUCCCCAGUUCCGAGCAUAUUCGUUUUCUCAGUUCAAAGAGAAAAUGAUCUCAUUUAUUAAGCGACCUUUUUAUUUUUUAUUUAUUUCAUUGUUUCUUGUUUAUUGACUGGGCUACGAAACGGUGCGAAGUAAGGAGGAAUCCAAGAUGAUAAUUUGAUCAUACAAAUUUCUAUAGUUUCAGCUCUGAUCCUGUGAUAGUGCUCCAUAUUUGUUGUCCAAUGAAA